rnacentral:rRNA from 1 species
GACGAACGCUGGCGGCGUGCUUAACACAUGCAAGUCGAACGGAAAGGCCCUGCUUUUGUGGGGUGCUCGAGCGGCGAACGGGUGAGUAACACGUGAGUAACCUGCCCUUGACUUUGGGAUAACUUCAGGAAACUGGGGCUAAUACCGGAUAGGAGCUCCUGCUGCAUGGUGGGGGUUGGAAAGUUUCGGCGGUUGGGGAUGGACUCGCGGCUUAUCAGCUUGUUGGUGGGGUAGUGGCUUACCAAGGCUUUGACGGGUAGCCGGCCUGAGAGGGUGACCGGCCACAUUGGGACUGAGAUACGGCCCAGACUCCUACGGGAGGCAGCAGUGGGGAAUAUUGCACAAUGGGCGGAAGCCUGAUGCAGCAACGCCGCGUGCGGGAUGACGGCCUUCGGGUUGUAAACCGCUUUCGCCUGUGACGAAGCGUGAGUGACGGUAAUGGGUAAAGAAGCACCGGCUAACUAGGUG